rnacentral:rRNA from 1 species
GUAGGGGGCAAGCGUUGUCCGGAUUUAUUGGGCGUAAAGAGCGUGUAGGCGGCCAGUCAGGUCCGUUGUGAAAACUCGAGGCUCAACCUCGAGACGCCGAUGGAAACCGACUGGCUAGAGUCCGGAAGAGGAGAGUGGAAUUCCCGGUGUAGCGGUGAAAUGCGCAGAUAUCGGGAAGAACACCCGUGGCUAAGGCGGCUCUCUAGUACGGUACUGACGCUGAGACGCGAAAGCGUGGGGAGCGAACAGGAUUAGAUACCCUGGUAGUCCACGCCGUAAACGAUGGGUGCUAGGUGUGGGGGGUGUCGACUCCCUCCGUGCCGAAGCUAACGCAUUAAGCACCCCGCCUGGGGAGUACGGCCGCAAGGCUW